rnacentral:rRNA from 1 species
AAAUAUAGCGGACCAUAAUGAUUUGCNNUAUAAUUGAAGGCUCGUACGAAUGGUUUGACGAGAACAAAGCUCUUUUUAAUUUUAUAAAACUUGAUUCUUAGGUGAAGAAGCCUAAAUAAAAUAAAUAAAAUUAAAAGACAAGAAAACCCCAUCGAGCUUUCAAAUAUAUAAUGGCUAAAAUAGACAACCAUAAUAAAAACAAUUUUAAUUUAGUUUGGUCGAUGAAACAAAACACAUUUUUGUUNAAAGCAGAUCAGCUGUGAUCCAAAAUUUUUGAUUAAAAGANNNNGUUACCGUAGGGAUAACAGCAUAAUUUUUUUUGAGAGUUCUUAUCGAGAAAAAGGUUUGUGACCUCGAUGUUAGAAUAAAAUAAUCUAAAUGAUGCAGAAGUUUUUGAGGGUUGGUCUGUUCAACC